GCAGAGUUAGCACUUCCUCGUCCUCUUCCACACUCAGGUCCUCUUCACCUGUGGGGAAGGGAACCACAGAGGCGUUAGCUGCCAGCCUGGCCCGGAGUUCCCCAGCUGUGACCACUUCCUUCAAAAUUCAACCCAGAAGACCGUAUUGGUGAUGGCACUCUGAGGCUGUCACUCCAGUUAUGCACGUGAGACCACCGCCAUCUUCCAUCUCAACCCCUCUGCUUUCCCGGAAGGUUCUUUUAUGCCUCGUCUCCAUGGUGUCCCAACAGUCCAGCUCUUUUCUUACAGCCAGAAACCAACGGCCCAUCUACAUGGUUCCAGGUUGCAGUUUCAUCCCUGCCGCCGCCAAGCGUGAAAUUAUUUUUUGAUGCAUAGCAUGUUUUGCAUUCCUACCUGGAGCACUCAGACUUCCAGAGGAGUCCAGGUGUUGCUUUGAUGACUGGUUACCAGGAGGAAUAAUUGGUGGGCUCAGUACACUUAACCAGUCCCUGCGAAAGAAAGCAAGAAGAGGAAGUGAGCGAACAACACGUCUACAAUUCCACGUACAGAUUCCAUGUUUGAUGGUGGGAAACUGGAAGACAGAUUUUGUGAAGACAAGGGACCUGAGGAUGGGGAAAGAUGGAAGGAAGAGAGAAGUAACAAGGGUCCAGAUGCGCUAUGUGUUUGUACCAACUCCCCACAAGGAAUGUCCUUCACUUGUAUCAGAACUGACAUCAAUAAAAACUUUUUUAAAGUGGGUGGAAAACAUUUGGCAUGAAUCUAGACACGGUUACACUCCAUGAACUCCAGCUGUGCCACUGUCACCUUCAUCAUCAACAGGGAUCAUGGUGUGGCUCUACUCACACGGUCUCUUCUAUCAGAGAGGAUCGUGGCUCCGUUAUCCUCAUGUAUUUACUUAUUUCCUGAGUUACAGAAAAAGCCCAAAAUAGUUUCAGAAUUGCUAAGCAAAACAAAGGAAAAAACCCAUUAACACAAAGCAGAAAUGAAGACAAACAGCGCACUCCACACCCAUUCUUCAGAGCUGUUUGCUAUUGUUGUUGGCCAAAUAUUCUGUGCACAAUCCAUGCUGUGGUUUCUCCCUGGGCUCAGUGUUGUCAUCUGCAUCUGAAACACAAUCACCUGCCUUUGACUGUAUUACAUUUUAGGUCUUUUUCUUCCAUUCUUGCUGAUUUCUAUUAUUUUUAACUGUUGAAUAUAUAAAAGAUUAACACA